rnacentral:rRNA from 1 species
GACGAACGCUGGCGGCGUGCCUAAUACAUGCAAGUCGAACGCUUCUUUCCUCCCGAGUGCUUGCACUCAAUUGGAAAGAGGAGUGGCGGACGGGUGAGUAACACGUGGGUAACCUACCCAUCAGAGGGGGAUAACACUUGGAAACAGGUGCUAAUACCGCAUAACAGUUUAUGCCGCAUGGCAUAAGAGUGAAAGGCGCUUUCGGGUGUCGCUGAUGGAUGGACCCGCGGUGCAUUAGCUAGUUGGUGAGGUAACGGCUCACCAAGGCCACGAUGCAUAGCCGACCUGAGAGGGUGAUCGGCCACACUGGGACUGAGACACGGCCCAGACUCCUACGGGAGGCAGCAGUAGGGAAUCUUCGGCAAUGGACGAAAGUCUGACCGAGCAACGCCGCGUGAGUGAAGAAGGUGUUCGGAUCGUAAAACUCUGUUGUUAGAGAAGAACAAGGACGUUAGUAACUGAACGUCCCCUGACGGUAUCUAACCAGAAAGCCAUGGCUAACUACGUG